rnacentral:rRNA from 1 species
CUGGGGGCGGGAUCCUUUACCCUGCAGUCGAACGGCAGCACGAGAGAGCUUGCUCUCUUGGUGGCGAGUGGCGGACGGGUGAGAAAAAAAAUCGGAACGUGCCCAGAAGCGGGGGAUAACUACUCGAAAGAAUGGAUAAUACCGCAUACGCCCUACGGGGGAAAGGGGGGGAUCGCAAGACCUCUCACUAUUGGAGCGGCCGAUAUCGGAUUAGAAAAGUUGGUGGGGUAAAGGCUCACCAAGGCAACGAUCCGUAGCUGGUUUGAGAGGACGACCAGCCACACUGGGACUGAGACACGGCCCAGACUCCUACGGGAGGCAGCAGUGGGGAAUUUUGGACAAUGGGGGAAACCCUGAUCCAGCCAUCCCGCGUGUAUGAUGAACGCCUUCGGGUUGUAAAGUACUUUUGGCAGAGAAAAAAAGGCAUCCCCUAAUACGGGAUGCUGCUGACGGUAUCUGCUUAAUAAGCACCGGCUAACUACGUGCCAUCAGCCGCGGUAAUACGUACGGCGCCCGCGUUAAUCGGAAUUACUGGGCGUAAAGCGUGUGUAGGCGGUUCGGAAAGAAAGAUGUGAAAUCCCAGGGCUCAGCCUUGGAACUGCAUUUUUAACUGCCGAGCUAGAGUAUGUCAGAGGGGGGUAGAAUUCCACGUGUAGCAGUGAAAUUGCGUAGAUAUGUGGAGGAAUACCGAUGGCGAAGGCAACCCCCCUGGGGAUAAUACUGACGCUCAGACACGAACUCGUGGGGAGCAAACAGGAUUAGAUACACUGGUAGUCCACGCCCUAAUGGAUGUCAACUACCUGUUGGGGCCGUUAGGCCUUUAUUGACGCAUCUACGCCGUGAAAGUUGAACGCCUUGGGGAAGUACGGUCGCCAGAAUGAGAACUCAGGGCAAUUUGAC